rnacentral:rRNA from 1 species
CUCAAUGAAAUUAAAUAGCCGCAAUAUUACUGUGCUAAGGUAGCAUAAUCAUUUGUCCUCUAAUUAAGGACUAGAACGAAAGAUUUAACAUUUUUAUUUCUCUCUCAUUCCAAAAUAUUAAACCUAUUUUAAAUAUAAUAAAAUAUUUAUAAAAAAAAAAGACGACAAGACCCUAUUGAACUUAACUAAAGUUAAACUGGGGUAGUCAAUUAAAUAUCAUUUUAAUUUAAGUACAAAAACAACCUAAUCCAAUUAAAACAUCAAGUUACCAUAGGGAUAACAGCGUAAUAAUUUUCAUAAGAUCUUAUUUAAAAAAUUGUUUGCGACCUCGAUGUUGAAUUAAUAAUCUAUUAAACGAAACAAUUUAAUAAGAAAGUCUGUUCGACUU